CCUUUUAAAGAUUUGAGCCUGUUUUGUCCUUAAAGUGUGCUCUCCUAAUUCUUACCUCACCCAAUGAGCUUUUUUUUUUUUCUUUAAUUGAUCUUCCUGCCUCCUUGGCUCAAUUACAGCAUGGGAGAAGGAGUGAAUGAUUUUUCAUGGGUGCUCAGGUGCUUGACCAGUGCCAAACCCUCCAGGGGAGCCUCUCCCUGCCCAGCCCCGCCGUGUCUGUGCCCCUCUCAGGGUUUUUGCUACGCUGUAACUCCGCACCCUGCCCUGCUGGGACACCCACCUGGUUCCAGCUGCCGCGAUUCUGACUCAUCCCAUCCACCACUCGAGAUUUUGCUCCUCCCUGCCUGCCCAGCUGGCUGUGCUGGAGUUCUGCUGCAGCUCCUUCUGCUGUCCACAGGGGCACUGGGAUCGGCUGCUCCGGGGGGUUCAGAGGGGAAGCCCCUUCUCCAUCCCUUCCUGCUGGCUGCCCCUGGCUCUGGUUCUGGCUCUGUGGUUCUGAGUCAGUGAGUCUGUGGUUCUGGCUGUCCCUGGGUCUGUGGUUCUGGGUCUGUGGUUCUGGGUCAGAGAGUCUGUGGUUCUGGCUGUCCCUGGCUCUGUGGUUCUGGGUCUCACUGGGUCUGCGGUUCUGGGUCUGUGGUUCAGGGUCUGUAGUUCUGGCUGUCCCUGGGUCUGUGGCUCUGGGUCACUGGGUGUGUGGUUCUGGCAGUCCGUGGCUCUAGGUCACUGAAUUCGUGGUUCUGGCUCUGUGGUUCUGGCUCUCCCUGGCUCUGUGGUUCUUGCUGUCACUGGGGCUUUGGUUCUGGGUCCUGGUUCUGUGGUUCUGGCUUUCUUGCUCCCUGGUUCUCUCUGGCUCUGUGGUUCUGGGUCCCUGGUUCUCUCUGGCUCUGUGGUUCUGGCUCUUUCUUGCUCUGUGGUUCUGGGUCCCUGGUUCUCUCUGGCUCUGUGGUUCUGGUUCUCUCUGGCUCUGUGGUUCUGGCUCUCUCUGGCUCUGUGGUUCUGGCUGUCCCUGGCUCUCUCUGGCUCUGUGGUUCUGGUUCUCUCUGGCUCUGUGGUUCUGGCUGUCCCUGGUUCUCUCUGACUCUGUGGUUCUGGUUCUCUCUGGCUCUGUGGUUCUGGUUCUCUCUGACUCUGUGGUUCUGGUUCUCUCUGACUCUGUGGUUCUGGCUCUCUCUAGCUCAGUGGUUCUGGCUGUCCCUGGUUCUCUCUGGCUCUGUGGUUCUGGUUCUCUCUGGCUCUGUGGUUCUGGUUCUCUCUGGCUCUGUGGUUCUGAUUCUCUCUGGCUCUGUGGUUCUGGCUCUCUCUAGCUCAGUGGUUCUGGCUGUCCCUGGUUCUCUCUGCCUCUGUGGUUCCGUUUGUUGCUGCUGCUCUUUGCUUGCCGUGUUACACAGACUGGUGAAGAGCUGUUAUUCCUUUUCCCGUGUCUGUGCCCAAAGGCCCCACCAUUUCAAAUUACAACAAUUCGGAGGGAAGGGGGUCACAUUCUCCAUUCCAAAGGAGGUUCCUGCCUCCCCUGGCAGAUACCUGUCUUUCCAAAUGGGACAAGUGCCACCUCCAGGCUUUUUUAAACACAUGCAGGGUUGGGGUCUCCACUGUGUCCCUGGCACAGUCACUCUUUCAGAGAGCCAUUUUUUUCCCGAUGUCCAACCUAAAAUUUCCCUAGCACAGCUUAAGGCUGUGUCCUCUUGUUCUGUCAGUUGUUCACUGGGAGAAGAGCCCGACCUCCACCUGGCUGCACCCUCCUGUCAGUGAGUUAUAGAGUGUGAUGAGGUCUCCUCUGAGCCUCCUUUUCUCCAGGGUAAUCAACCCCAGCUCCCUCAGCCGUUCCUCACAGGACUUGUGCUCCACACCCCUCACCAGCCUUGUUGCCCCUCUCUGGAUGUGUUUGAACAUCUCAACAUCCUUCCUAAACUGAGGGGCCAAGAACUGGACACAGCACUUGAGGUGCAGCCUCACCUGUGCCGAGCACAGGGGAAAAUGUUCCCUUCCUUCCAGGAGGUUCCGUCAGGUCACGGAGGAACCUUGGUGCCGUGUUGGUGCCUCACAGAGCUCUCCUGGGUUCCAUGAGGUUCCAGAGCCUCACAGAGCUCUCCUGGGUUCCAUGAGGUUCCAGAGCCUCACAGAGCUCUCCUGGGUUCCAUGAGGUUCCAGAGCUCUCC